rnacentral:rRNA from 1 species
GACGAACGCUGGCGGCGUGCUUAACACAUGCAAGUCGAGCGGUAAGGCCCUUUCGGGGGUACACGAGCGGCGAACGGGUGAGUAACACGUGGGUGACCUGCCCUUAGCUCUGGGAUAAGCCUGGGAAACUGGGUCUAAUACCGGAUAUGACUCCAUGACGCAUGUUGUGGGGUGGAAAGCCUUGUGCGGCUAGGGAUGGGCCCGCGGCCUAUCAGCUUGUUGGUGGGGUGAUGGCCUACCAAGGCGACGACGGGUAGCCGGCCUGAGAGGGCGACCGGCCACACUGGGACUGAGACACGGCCCAGACUCCUACGGGAGGCAGCAGUGGGGAAUCUUGCGCAAUGGGCGAAAGCCUGACGCAGCGACGCCGCGUGAGGGAAGAAGGCCUCGGUCGUAA